GACGAACGCUGCGGCGUGCUUAACACAUGCAAGUCGCACGGAAAGGCCCUGCUUGCAGGGUACUCGAGUGGCGAACGGGUGAGUAACACGUGGGUGAUCUGCCCUGCACUUCGGGAUAAGCCUGGGAAACUGGGUCUAAUACCGGAUAGGAGCCAUUUUUAGUGUGAUGGUUGGAAAGUUUUUUCGGUGUAGGAUGAGCUCGCGGCCUAUCAGCUUGUUGGUGGGGUAAUGGCCUACCAAGGCGGCGACGGGUAGCCGGCCUGAGAGGGUGGACGGCCACAUUGGGACUGAGAUACGGCCCAGACUCCUACGGGAGGCAGCAGUGGGGAAUAUUGCACAAUGGGCGCAAGCCUGAUGCAGCGACGCCGCGUGGGGGAUGACGGCCUUCGGGUUGUAAACUCCUUUCGCUAGGGACGAAGCUUUUUGUGACGGUACCUAGAUAAGAAGCACCGGCUAACUACGU
rnacentral:rRNA from 1 species